CGAAAUGCAUUUAGGUGCAGCGUCGUAUUAUAGCUUGGUGGAGGUAGAGCGACUGGUUGGUUGAGCGGGACUACAAUCUUAGCAAUGUCAGCCAAACUCCGAAUGCCACUAAUUGUGUUGUACGGCAGUGAGACUGUGGGGGAUAAGCUUCAUAGUCGAGAGGGAAACAGCCCAGAUCGCCGGUUAAGGCCCCUAAGGGUGUGCUAAGUGGAAAAGGAUGUGGGAUCGCGAAGACAGCCAGGAGGUUGGCUUAGAAGCAGCCAUCCUUGAAAGAGUGCGUAAUAGCUCACUGGUCGAGUGGUUCUGCGCCGACAAUGUAGUGGGGCUCAAGUACACCGCCGAAGCCGCGGCAAACUUUUUUGUUUGGGUAGGGGAGCGUCGUGUGUGGGGUGAAGCCGUAUCGGAAGGAGCGGUGGACUGCAUGCGAGUGAGAAUGCAGGCAUGAGUAACGAAUGGCAAGUGAGAAUCUUGCCCGCCGGAUGACUAAGGGUUCCUGGGUCAAGUUCGUCUUCCCAGGGUGAGUCGGGACCUAAGGCGAGGCCGACAGGCGUAGUCGAUGGACAACGGGUUGAUAUUCCCGUACCAGUG
rnacentral:rRNA from 1 species